ensembl:lncRNA
UGCACAUUGGCCCUUAAAGUGUCAAAUGUUUAGGCAGUGUGAAAUGACAAGCCUCAGAAAUGAAUAAGAAUUCAUGAAAUAGUGCUACUUAUGAUCUUAUCAACAAAUGUAUGAACUUUGGCCAGGUGCCAUACAAACAUCAGUAAAGUGAAUAUAUUUCGAUGCCAUAGUUAUUACAGAUAUUGUUUCUAAAAUAUAACUGGUUAAAACCUCAGGACAUUGGCAUUAGAAACAACUGGAGACAUCUCAAAAUGUACCAUUGAAAGAUCCCAUAUGUAUAUUAACUAUUUUGGUCACGAAAAUCAAUUUAUUACAUAGAUUUCAUAAAUGUUAGGUUUCAUAGACUGUAUCAUGUGACUAGUUCGCGCGUGAAGCAUCUUGACGUUUAUGGUCAAGCUCACGAACUGUGGCACACACAGCAUUAUUCUCCCAGACUGAAGAGUUUCUUUGCCACCGAGUAUUUACAGAUAUUUAAGUGAUUUUAUCUCAAGUUAUAUUGGAGAGAAUGUUGCACACACUUAUUUUGUUCUCUUUGAGUUUGUAUUCUCUGGCUGCCGUUGCUGCAGCACAACUUUCAGCUCCUCUGUUCCUCAGUGAAUCUGUGAUAGUGCUGAUCUCAGCUGCUGCUGGAUCUCUGGUGUAUAUGGUUUUGAUUUGGAUGUUUUGUGUGUGCAGGGGACACAAAGAGGCAGCUCAGACCCAUGAAUAUGAGACUCCUCAAUCACUCCACAAACAGAUUGGACAAAUGACGGUAAGUGUUAAAUACUAUUAAAUACCAAAUAUGUUUAACAAGUUUGUGAAAUAGCAUGCGGUAUAUGAUGUUAUUAUAUUCCAAAUAUGUCAUGCUUCCUGUGCUAACUGUUGUUAUCUGAUGUUGAACAUGUUUUAUGGUUUCUGCAGUUGUUUUGUGACUGUUUGCUGGUAUUAAAAUGUUGAUAAAUUUCCAUUCUAAAAUUUUAUGAUAAAACUCUUAAAAGUAUAAAAGACACAGAGACUCUUCCAUUACAAUACAAUACAAAAAUAAAUAAAUAAACCAUUCAGUGCA